GAUGAAGAACGCAGCGAAAUGCGAUAAGUAAUGUGAAUUGCAGAAUUCAGUGAAUCAUCGAAUCUUUGAACGCACAUUGCGCCCGCCAGUAUUCUGGCGGGCAUGCCUGUUCGAGCGUCAUUUCAACCAUCAAGCCCCGGGCUUGUGUUGGGGACCUGCGGCUGCCGCAGGCCCUGAAAAGCAGUGGCGGGCUCGCUGUCACACCGAGCGUAGUAGCAUACAUCUCGCUCUGGGUGUGCUGCGGGUUCCGGCCGUUAAACCACCUUUUAACCCAAGGUUGACCUCGGAUCAGGUAGGAAGACCCGCUGAACUUAAGCAUAUCAAUAAGCGGAGGA
rnacentral:misc_RNA from 1 species